AAGAGUUUUGUGAGCAAUUCUAACUCUAAGAACCGACCACUCUCCCUCUCUCAUUCACUCAUCUGAUUUUUGAAGACCUCUCAAAGUGUUCCCUCAAUAUUCAACCUCAAGAACACCAAGGAAAACUUGGAGGCUAAGUCUUGGUCUAGGAAGUAUUUUCCCUAAGUUGGUUAGGGUUUUUGGAAAGGUUUUGGAGGAGCCAAAGCUAAUAGGAAGGUCCAAACCUUAAGCAAGAACACCAAAGAGUAUUGGCUAAGCGUAACUGGACUGAACGUUGGAGGGUGAAAACCUGCUGAGCGCUAAGGACUCCAAGUAAGGGCAAGGGCAAGGCAGAGCAGUGAGCGCUGGAGUCUUCCUUGCAAAUGUACAUGUGGAUCGACCUUUUGGGAAGCCGUUUGAUUUUUGGACAUGUUGUGUAAUUUUCCUAAACUAGGCUCACUCUACUCUUUAUAAAACAUGUUUGUAACUAAAUGUUAAGUAUGGUCAUACGACUUUUUUAAAAGUUUUUUUUUCUAUGGGUUUUUGAGACAUUUUGUUAAAUGAAAACAUUUAUAUUUCCACA